GAAGUUUUCUGAUUGCUUAUCUUUUUUCUCUGGUUUGAUAAAAGUCAAUUUCUAUAGAAGUUAACAAAGGCCCACAUUUCUACAGAAACAGUCGAUAUUUUUGUUUCCCUUUCUGUUACCUGCAUGUAUCAUGUAAUGUAGCUGAAAAUAGGAUCUUGUUUGAUUUGUGAUGGCUACAGUUUGUGCAAUUUCUUUCAUUACAAUUUUGAUCGACUGUUCGACUGAAUUUUCUUUUAUCCUCUCCUCAGGGAGUAGGAAUUCUCUUCUCU
rnacentral:misc_RNA from 1 species